UAAUUUUUGAAUAAAAAUAUUUUCAAUAAACAAAAAUAAAUCGUUAAUCAUUAUUGUUGAGGAUAAAGAAUGCUAACAAUUUCCUUUUAUAACCAUGCUAAUAGUUUAUUAAGUUUGUCGAGUAAAUUGCUGAUUUUCAUCUCUAUUGAUAGAGAAUAGAGUUAAUUAAAACUAAAUCUCUCAUUCAAUGUACAACACAAUCUCAAGGAGAGAGAAAGUCUUGCAACAAAGAAAAAAAGUAUUAGGCCUAAACCAUUGGUAGUUGGUUGAACAAGGAAAGGAUCCAGCAACAGUUGAUAUAUAAUGGUUAUCCAAAUUAACCUUUCAAAUUCAAUCUAAUAAUUUGCAAUGAUGAUGGUGGCUGUGAUCAUCUUGAUGUCGAUUAAAUGUUGUGCCGUCUGGUUCCUCUUAUAAUCAAAAUAAUGUUAAUGUUAAUGAUGAUAAUGAUGAAGUUAAAAUGACCUGAGAAAUCAAGUUAAGCCACAUUGAAACCAAACUAUUUUGCCAAAUUGAGAAUGAUUAACAGAAGCUUCUCCUCAGUCCACUCAGUCUACACUCUCCACUCUUCUUCUUCCAUCCUUGGAUGAUGAUGAUAAUGAAUCCACUUUUUUUUAUAACAGCAACAACUAGUCACUGGUUUCAUCGUUUCUCGAGGCCACAAAACAAAGCAACAAGCAGCCCAAGAAAAAAAAAGUUAAGAUAAAUAAAAUGAUGAUUCGUUGUAAUGACCGAAGGCCCUCUUAGGCUCUUAGGCUAUUUUUGACAAUAAUUUUCAUCCAAACUAUCGCUUUACCUGGUAAUAGGAAAAAAAAAUGACUAUGAAGGUAAAAAAAAGACAAACUCAAAGUAAAAUGCUUUUCCAGAAUCAAACAUUUUUUGUCUCUUCUGCCAUUUUGGUUACUCUUGGGCCUUCGUCUUCACCUUCAUCACUAUACCUAAACUACUAUUAUUAUCACCAUCAUCAUCAUCAUCUCGUUUGAAAAUGAUGCUCACUGUUUUUACUUUGCUUCCCUCCACUUUUUGCCCGCAACGACACAUCAUUUAGGAACCUUAACAUUAGGAAUCUAAGGUGAUUUAAAUCUUUCUCAUUUCUUCUUCUCUCUUCAUCUUUCUUCCACUUCUCUUCAACGUCUUAUUCAUUUCCUUUUUUUACAGUUUUCCCUUUUUUAGCAACUUUUUUGUCUUUCAAUAUUAUCAUUAUUACUAUUAUUAUUACCAUUCCUAUUAUCAUUAUAAUCAUUAUAUUGUACCUUGUCUUUCACUUUUACCUCUUAAUGUGUUUUCCUUUUCGCUUUCUUCUUCUUCUUCAUUUCCUUCAACCCUCAUAAAGUUACCUUGUUAACUUAUCAAUGAGCAUUUUUAACCUGAAAAGCGUUUACUCCAAAAAAAGUUUUACCUUUAAAACUAAAGUAACACUGAGAAUCACUAAGGUUCAAUCAGGUAGAAACAAGAGUUUCUUCACUAUCUCCACUGUCUUUACUCUUAUCAUCAUCUUCUCAUCAUCUUCAUCAUCUCUUUACCUUCUUUUUCCUCAAUGGAUUUUUACCACCCUUAGCCCUUCGUAUUGUUGAAUUGCCAUUAUUGAUUGAUGCUAAGAUUACCCUGUAACUAACUUUACUAAUUAACUUUAAACAUUCAUUUCCAACUCUUUUCUUCUUCUCCAACUUUGUCUCAAUUUAAAUAAAAGCCAAGUUCACUGGAAGUUACUUGAAUACCUUUAAGAACCUGAUUUAGUAAAAAUAAUUU